UAGAUUUUAAUUUUCACUGUUUUCAAUUCAUGUUAAUGCAUUCCAUAUAAAACCAAGCGCAAUUCUUAAACUGCUAGUAAAUUUCUACAUUCUAUUUCUGGUCAUCAAGAUAAAAUCAUAUGGAGGCCACAAGAUAUUAUAUCAAGCAAAUUGUUGAGUAUCGAAUGGCCAAAUAUCGAGUGAAAAUUGAACACUGACUCACUUCACCGGGAAUCGCUCUGAAAAUAAUUUAAAAAGUUCUUUCAACUACUGCUGCUCUGCACACUGACCCCUUCACCAGGAAUCGCUCUGAAAAUAAUUUAAAAAGUCCUUGCAACUAGUGGUGCUCUGCACUCACACUACUUCACCAGGAAUCUUUCCAGAAACAUUUUACCAGAUCUUCUCAAUCCAACUAUUACUGCCCUGAAGCUAUUACAUGUGAAUGACUCGCAAGUGUUUUUUUUUAAUAACUGCCUAUAAUUAUGCAUGAUUAACUUAACUCUUAUUAACUCAAUAACAUGACUAACCUCACUAACUUAAUCAGUUAUUAUAAAUACCACUUGUUGAGUUUUACUAUGAAGGUUUUACUGAGAUUGCUUGGAAGACGGGGCUGAAUGAUUAAUCAGGGUAAACGACAACUACAAGCCAAGUGGUGAACUCUCAAGUUGCUCAUGAGUGAAAACAAUAAUUUCAUCUACUAAUUAUGCUGUCCGUCCGUCCGUCCGUCUUGUCACCAGAGAAGAUGCCUAC